UGCCUCGUCGGCCGCUUUCGUGCUCGACUGCACCGUCUAGGAGAGAGAGAAUCACGCCGCCCGGCACCACCCAAACAGGACCGGCGCGAUCGGCAGCUGCAAUGGAGUCCUCCUCGCCCGCAGCGGCACAUCGGAUGCACCUGGACCUCUCACCGCCGCCACCGGGGGUCUGCUACCAGCGCGUCUUUUUAUUCACUAGCUGUGCCAUGUGUGCUUCCCGAAAGCGACGUCGCCGACGCGACCGGCGUUGAACGCUUCCGCUGCCUAGCGUCGUCCCCAGAGCCUGCGCGUCUUGAUUGUACUGUGCGCGCCGGAGUACGAAGCGCGCGUUUCAAAAAGAAGUCUUCUUCUCGAGGCGACGGUCGUGGUGCCCACUUCCGAGGCGAAGCUCUACGUCAACUCUCCUCGUCCACUGCAGCGAGUGGCUGCGACAUGGCAGCUCGAGCGGUUGCUGGUGGACUCUUCGAUUAGACCGGCGCUAGCCUUUGGUCAUGCAUCGCGAGGCGUCACCGGCCGAUCAUGAUCGACCCCAAGGUGUUCGUCGCAUUGCUCGUGCUAUCCACGGCGUUCAUCGUUGCUGCCAUCGUGGGCGCAGUUUGCUUUCUAUGCCGUGUCCUCAAGAAGGAUUCUCGCAGGAGGCUCAAGGACGACUAUGUCAUCGUACUUGAUGGUACGGAACCGCCACCUCCGUAUACCUGGAGGAGUGUGCGUUCGGAUGGACGUCGUCAAUAAAUAGUCUUCUUCUCUUCUC